UACGUAGGGUGCAAGCGUUAAUCGGAAUUACUGGGCGUAAAGCGUGCGCAGGCGAUUUUGUAAGUCUGUCGUGAAAUCCCCGGGCUUAACCUGGGAAUGGCGAUGGAGACUGCAAGGCUAGAAUCUGGCAGAGGGGGGUAGAAUUCCACGUGUAGCAGUGAAAUGCGUAGAUAUGUGGAGGAAUACCGAUGGCGAAGGCAGCCCCCUGGGAUAACACUGACGCUCAUGCACGAAAGCGUGGGGAGCAAACAGG
rnacentral:rRNA from 1 species